CGGAGGUUUGGGAAAAUACUUUUGCUCGGCCUGAGGCGCUAGAAAUAAAUAACUGGCACUCUCAGUUCACAAAACCACUCACUCACCGUGGCGAUUUGACGUCAAAAUGUUAUUCAACCUAAUUCUGAAAUGACAGACAGAUGGUUAGACUUUUGUGUGCGAUUUUAGUCUAAUUAUAUUUUUAGUUUCUAAGCGAAGAUUGCUUGUAUUAAAUUUCUGGAAUACAUUUCAAUUAUGAAUUAAUUCCUUAA